rnacentral:snRNA from 1 species
GUGUUCACUUUGGCAGCACAUACACUAAAAUUGGAACAAUACAGAGAUUAGCAUGGCCCCCGAGCAAGGAUGACUUGCAAAUUUGUGAAGCGUCCCUUUUUUUU